CCCUGGUCAGGGCACAUAUAAGAAUAAAUCAUGGUCCCUGUAAUGUAUGGAGGCAGUGGGAAGGGGCUCCGGCCCCCUCAGCGUCAUGUCUUCAGUGCUGAUGGUUUCCAGUCCUCCGGUUCUGUCCUCAAGCGCCGGGACACUG